rnacentral:rRNA from 1 species
UGGGGAAUAUUGGACAAUGGGCGCAAGCCUGAUGCAGCCAUGCCGCGUGUAUGAAGAAGGCCUUCGGGUUGUAAAGUACUUUCAGCGGGGAGGAAGGUGUUGAGGCUAAUAACCUCAGCAAUUGACGUUACCCGCAGAAGAAGCACCGGCUAACUCCGUGCCAGCAGCCGCGGUAAUACGGAGGGUGCAAGCGUUAAUCGGAAUUACUGGGCGUAAAGCGCACGCAGGCGGUCUGUCAAGUCGGAUGUGAAAUCCCCGGGCUCAACCUGGGAACUGCAUUCGAAACUGGCAGGCUAGAGUCUUGUAGAGGGGGGUAGAAUUCCAGGUGUAGCGGUGAAAUGCGUAGAGAUCUGGAGGAAUACCGGUGGCGAAGGCGGCCCCCUGGACAAAGACUGACGCUCAGGUGCGAAAGCGUGGGGAGCAAACA